CGGAGUCACUGGAGGGAGCUGAGCUCGCCUAGCUCAAAGUCGCCCAGGCAGAGAAGAGGUGGUCGGGGAUUCAACAACACUGCGCAAAAAACUGGGAGCCUCCCCCUUACAGCGACUGGUUGGCUGUUGGGAGUGCCUCCAAGUCAUCGGACUCUGAACUCUACUUCUAAGAGUAUAAGAAGAUGGUGAAGUAGGUGGAAGCUGGCCUUCAUCCAGUCUGGCUGGUGUCCUUAUAAGAGGAGGAGAUUCCACACCAGAGACGUCAGGAAUGCCUAGUCACAAAGAAAAGAUCACAUGAGGGCACAGCAAGAAUCUAUCCAUCUGCAAACCAAAGAGGGAGAGGCCUCAGAAGAAAUCAACCUCAGGAGAAACUUACCAACAUGUUGAUCUUGGACUUCUAGCCCCAGAACUGUGAGAACAUAAAUUUAUGUUGCAUAAGA